rnacentral:rRNA from 1 species
AUUGAACGCUGGCGGCAGGCCUAACACAUGCAAGUCGAGCGAGCGGCGGACGGGUGAGUAAUGCCUGGGAAAUUGCCCAGUCGAGGGGGAUAACAGUUGGAAACGGUAGCUAAUACCGCAUACCAUCAGAUGUGCCCAGAUGGGAUUAGCUAGUAGGUGGGGUAACGGCUCACCUAGGCGACGAUCCCUAGCUGGUCUGAGAGGAUGACCAGCCACACUGGAACUGAGACACGGUCCAGACUCCUACGGGAGGCAGCAGUGGGGAAUAUUGCACAAUGGGCGCAAGCCUGAUGCAGCCAUGCCGCGUGUGUGAAGAAGGCCUUCGGGUUGUAAAGCACUUUCAGCGGGGAGGCGUUACCCGCAGAAGAAGCACCGGCUAACUCCGUGCCAGCAGCCGCGGUAAUAC